CUAGCUCGGCCUAACAACUUUCACAAAGUUUGACCUCAAAUCAGGUAGGACUACCCGCUGAACUUAAGCAUAUCAAUAAGCGGAGGAAAAGAAACCAACAGGGAUUGCCUCAGUAACGGCGAGUGAAGCGGCAAAAGCUCAAAUUUGAAAUCUAGUACCUUCGGUGCUCGAGUUGUAAUUUGAAGAUGGUAAUCCUGGCGCUGGCCCUUGUCUAUGUUCCUUGGAACAGGACGUCAUAGAGGGUGAGAAUCCCGUCUGAUGGGGUGUCCAGUGCUAUGUAGGAUGCUAUCGAAGAGUCGAGUUGUUUGGGAAUGCAGCUCUAAGUGGGUGGUAAAUUCCAUCUAAAGCUAAAUAUUGGCGAGAGACCGAUAGCGAACAAGUACAGUGAUGGAAAGAUGAAAAGAACUUUGAAAAGAGAGUGAAAAAGUACGUGAAAUUGUUGAAAGGGAAGGGUAUUAGAUCAGACUUGGUGUUUUAUGAUUAUCUUCUCUUCUUGAGUUGUGCACUCGUAUUUCACUGGGCCAGCAUCGAUUCGGAUGGUAAGAUAAUGACAUUGGAACGUGGCAUCAUUCGUGAUGUGUUAUAGCCUUUGUUGAUAUUGCCUAUCUGGAUCGAGGACUGCGGCUUCUGCCUAGGAUGCUGGCGUAAUGAU
rnacentral:rRNA from 1 species